rnacentral:rRNA from 1 species
AACGUAGGAGGCGAGCGUUAUCCGGAUUCACUGGGCGUAAAGCGCGUGCAGGUGGCUUGGUAAGUUAGGCGUGAAAUCUCCCGGCUCAACUGGGAGAGGUCGUCUAAUACUACCGGGCUAGAGAACAGAAGAGGAAGAUGGAAUUCCCGGUGUAGUGGUGAAAUGCGUAGAUAUCGGGAGGAACACCAGUGGCGAAGGCGAUCUUCUGGUCUGUUUCUGACACUCAGACGCGACAGCUAGGGUAGUAAAC